rnacentral:tRNA from 1 species
GUCAAUUUGUCCGAGCGGUUAAGGAGCUAGACUCAAGAGUAAUCUUACCGAGUAGAUCCGGUGCUGAGUAUUCUAGUCCACAUCUGUGGGCGUGGGUUCGAGUCCCACAGUUGACA